rnacentral:rRNA from 1 species
GAUGAACGCUGACAGAAUGCUUAACACAUGCAAGUCAACUGUGGCGGACGGGUGAGUAACGCGUAAAGAACUUGCCUCACAAAUAGGGACAACAUUUGGAAACGAAUGCUAAUACCUGAUACUGUGAGAGAGCUUUGCGUCCCAUUAGCUAGUUGGCGAGGUAAAGGCUCACCAAGGAGAUGAUGGGUAGCCGGCCUGAGAGGGUGAUCGGCCACAAGUGGACUGAGACGCGGCCCUUACUCGAACGUGAGGCAGCAGUGGGGAAUAUAGGACAAUAGACCAAAGUCUUAUCAAGCAAUUCGGUGUGCACGAUGAUGUUUUCGGAAUGUAAAGUGCUUUCAGUAGGGAAGCGGUACCAACAGAAGAAGUGACGGCUAAAUACGUGCCAGCAGCCGCGGUAAUAC